GCCAGUGUGGCGUAGUGGUUUGAAUGUCAGAUUACAACUCUGAAGACCAGGGUUCGAUUCCCCACUCGGCCG